CUGGCUGGUGGGAAUGAAACACCCAAAAGUUUUUUUUUUUUUUAAGAACGCUCUUAAAUGAUAACUAAUUUUUCCUGAGCGACGCAAGGAUAAUCAGGCUUCUCUCUAACAGAAAUGCUCUGUUAGGUAAAUCAUAAAACAUUUUGUCAUUCCAGCUGUUUUGAUACAAAACUAAUACAAUUGUAAACUUGAAAGCGGUUAAUCGAAAAAUAUAUAUAUACAUAUUAUUAUUUAUUAUUUCCUAGGAUCAAAUCACUUCGGAAUUGCUGGGAAAUAUGCAGUACAUGCAAUGAAAGCAGGUGUUAUUGGAUUGGCUUUUACUAACAGCUCACCCAUUGUAGUUCCAACCAGAGCAAAAAACUCUGGUAUUGGAACGUGUCCAAUAGCUGCAGCUGCACCUGGAGUUAACGACAGUUUUGAAUUAGACAUGGCUACAUGUACAGUGGCUCUUGGAAAA